rnacentral:rRNA from 1 species
AUACGUAGGGGCCAAGCGUUGUCCGGAAUCACUGGGCGUAAAGGGUAUGUAGGCGGUCUUGUAAGUCAGAUGUAAAAUCUACGGGCUCAACCCGUAGCCGCAUUUGAUACUGCUUGACUAGAGAGUGCUAGAGGAAAGCGGAACUUCCUGUGUAGCGGUGAAAUGCGUAGAUAUAGGAAGGAACACCAGUGGCGAAGGCGGCUUUCUGGGGCACUUCUGACGCUGAGAUACGAAAGCUAGGGGAGCAAACGGGAUUAGAUACCCCAGUAGUCC